CUAUUACAGGGGUAGACAAGGAGGAAGCAGAAAAACAGUAUAUUGCUAAAGUGCAAGGACUUAAAGGUUAAAAGUAUCCAAGGAUUAGAAAACUGCCAGAGUAUAAUUCAGAAGCUCAAAGAACAAAAUAAUCUGACCACCAGGCUCAAGAAUGACUUAUUGAUGAUUCCUGUUAAUUUGUGAUUGUUUUGGUUUGCAUUGUUUUGUCAUUUAAUUGUGUUUUAAGGAAUUUUAGAUUUUCUUUUUGAAAAAAAUCAUAACUUGAAGCUAUAAUUGAUAUUAUUAUGAAUUUGGCAAUCUUUUUUAUUGUCGUUUUUUAAAUAUUUUCCAAAGGGAUUUGCUGAGAGGGUAUAUAGGAUAGAUCUCAUUCAAAGAUUGGAAGUAUUAUUGAAUGUUUGAAAUGUUGAGAUACAUCAUGUCAGUGUAAUUUUGUGAUUUAUUUAAUUAUUGUGAUAGGUGAACAAGAGUUGGCCUUUGUUACAUGACAAAUAUUUAGACUGUUAGUCUCCUAGGUUGUAUCCAUAUUGAUUUAUAGGUGAUUUUUACAAAUUUUGUUUUUUCUCACCUUUUUUCAUAUUAUAUUUUUAGUCUUUUAUAUGCACAAUGGGCAUUUCCUUUCCAUAAGGGAACAGACCAAGAGUGAUCAAGGUUUUUUUUAAAAAAUUCAAAUAAUGAAAUGUGGUUACAAAAUGAAAGAAACACUACUCUUAAAUAUUUAUAUUUGUUAAGAGUUGUAAACCUUAAUCAGAGACAAUUUCAAAAUCAAUUUCAGAUGAAGAAGUAUUUGGCAAUAUUAUGACUUGUACACAAAGCAAUGCCUCUGAUUCACUAUAAAUAAUGACCAUUAUUAAUCAUGUUAAUCAUGCAUACUGAUGAAAUAUUGGUGUCAGAUUCAUUAAAAGGAAAUCCAUCA